CUAGCCCCGCUGCGUAGAGUUUGAUCCUGGCUCAGUAAGUCGUAACAUGGUAGCCGUAGAGUUUUGGCGAACGGGUGAGUAAUACGUGAGUAACCUGCCCUUGACUCUGGGAUAAGCCCGGGAAACUGGGUCUAAUACUGGAUGCUACAUGUCACCGCAUGGUGGUGUGUGGAAAGGGUUUACUGGUCUUGGAUGGGCUCACGGCCUAUCAGCUUGUUGGUGAGGUAAUGGCUCACCAAGGCGACGACGGGUAGCCGGCCUGAGAGGGUGACCGGCCACACUGGGACUGAGACACGGCCCAGACUCCUACGGGAGGCAGCAGUGGGGAAUAUUGCACAAUGGGCGAAAGCCUGAUGCAGCGACGCCGCGUGAGGGAUGACGGCCUUCGGGUUGUAAACCUCUUUCAGCAGGGAAGAAGCCACAAGUGACGGUACCUGCAGAAGAAGCGCCGGCUAACUACGUGCCAGCAGCCGCGGUAAUACGUAGGGCGCAAGCGUUGUCCGGAAUUAUUGGGCGUAAAGAGCUCGUAGGCGGUUUGUCGCGUCUGCUGUGAAAGCCCGGGGCUUAACCCCGGGUGUGCAGUGGGUACGGGCAGACUAGAGUGCAGUAGGGGAGACUGGAAUUCCUGGUGUAGCGGUGGAAUGCGCAGAUAUCAGGAGGAACACCGAUGGCGAAGGCAGGUCUCUGGGCUGUUACUGACGCUGAGGAGCGAAAGCAUGGGGAGCGAACAGGAUUAGAUACCCUGGUAGUCCAUGCCGUAAACGUUGGGCACUAGGUGUGGGGGACAUUCCACGUUUUCCGCGCCGUAGCUAACGCAUUAAGUGCCCCGCCUGGGGAGUACGGCCGCAAGGCUAAAACUCAAAGGAAUUGACGGGGGCCCGCACAAGCGGCGGAGCAUGCGGAUUAAUUCGAUGCACGCGAAAACCUUACCAAGGCUUGACAUAUACCGGGAUCGUUCCAGAGAUGGCUCUUCCCCUUUUGGGUCGGUAAUACAGGUGGUGCAUGGUUGUCGUCCAGCCUCGUGUCGUGAGAUGUGGGAUAAAGUCCCGCAACGAGCGCAACCCUCGUUCAUUGUUGCCAGCCACGUGAAUGUGGACUCAUGAAGAACUUGCCGGGAUCCACCUCGAGAGUGGGAUGACGGUCCAAUCAUCAUGCCAUAUGGUCUGGACUUCACGCAUGUCUACAAUGGCGGUACAAUGUUGCCAUCUGUGAAUGACUAUCCAAGCGAUCUAGCUUCGAAUGUAG
rnacentral:rRNA from 1 species